AAACCAGCACCUCAAGUGGUCAGGAGGUUUAUUGGGCCUAAAGCAUCCGUAGCCUGAUCUAUAAGUUUCCGGUUAAAUCCACAUGCUCAACAUUUGGGCUGCCGGAAAAACUGUAGAUCUAGGGAGUGGGAGAGGUAGACGGUACUCGGUAGGAAGGGGUAAAAUCCUUUGAUCUAUUGAUGACCACCUGUGGCGAAGGCGGUCUACCAGAACACGUCCGACGGUGAGGGAUGAAAGCUGGGGGAGCAAACCGGAUUAGAAACCCGAGUAGUCC
rnacentral:rRNA from 1 species